rnacentral:rRNA from 1 species
AGAGUUUGAUCCUGGCUCAGGACGAACGCUGGCGGCGUGCCUAACACAUGCAAGUCGAACGGAACUGUUUUGAAAGAUUUCUUCGGAAUGAAUUUGAUUUAGUUUAGUGGCGGACGGGUGAGUAACGCGUGAGUAACCUGCCUUCAAGAGGGGGAUAACAUUCUGAAAAGAAUGCUAAUACCGCAUGACAUAUCGGAACCACAUGGUUUUGAUAUCAAAGAUUUUAUCGCUUGAAGAUGGACUCGCGUCCGAUUAGUUAGUUGGUGAGGUAACGGCUCACCAAGACCGCGAUCGGUAGCCGGACUGAGAGGUUGAACGGCCACAUUGGGACUGAGACACGGCCCAGACUCCUACGGGAGGCAGCAGUGGGGGAUAUUGCGCAAUGGGGGCAACCCUGACGCAGCAACGCCGCGUGAAGGAUGAAGGUUUUCGGAUUGUAAACUUCUUUUAUUAAGGACGAAAAAUGACGGUACUUAAUGAAUAAGCUCCGGCUAACUACGUGCCAGCAGCCGCGGUAAUACGUAGGGAGCAAGCGUUGUCCGGAUUUACUGGGUGUAAAGGGUGCGUAGGCGGCUUUGCAAGUCAGAUGUGAAAUCUAUGGGCUCAACCCAUAAACUGCAUUUGAAACUGUAGAGCUUGAGUGAAGUAGAGGCAGGCGGAAUUCCCCGUGUAGCGGUGAAAUGCGUAGAGAUGGGGAGGAACACCAGUGGCGAAGGCGGCCUGCUGGGCUUUAACUGACGCUGAGGCACGAAAGCGUGGGUAGCAAACAGGAUUAGAUACCCUGGUAGUCCACGCUGUAAACGAUGAUUACUAGGUGUGGGGGGUCUGACCCCUUCCGUGCCGGAGUUAACACAAUAAGUAAUCCACCUGGGGAGUACGGCCGCAAGGU